UACGGAGGGUGCAAGCGUUAAUCGGAAUGACUGGGCGUAAAGCGCACGCAGGCGGUCUGUUAAGUUGGAUGUGAAGUCCCCGGGCUUAACCUGGGAACUGCAUUCAAAACUGACAGGCUAGAGUCUUGUAGAGGGGGGUAGAACUCCAGGUGUAGCGGUGAAAUGCGUAGAGAUCUGGAGGAAUACCGGUGGCGAAGGCGGCCCCCUGGACAAAGACUGACGCUCAGGUGCGAAAGCGUGGGGAGCAAACAGG
rnacentral:rRNA from 1 species